rnacentral:lncRNA from 1 species
CCUCCUUCCUCGAUAAACUGAUUUUUUAAGAAUUUAUCAUGAUGACUCAUAAUCAUAUUAUGACCUUGUGGAAGAUAAAAAUAAUAUCCUAUGGUUUCUUUCAAAUAUCCUAUAAAAUGAGCCAUAACAGAUCUAUCCUCUAAUUUAUUAGCCAUCUAUUUUUUGAUAUAGGUUGGACAUCCUCAAGUCUUAAGAUAAUCUAGACUUGAUUUUUUAUCAUGUC